rnacentral:lncRNA from 1 species
AUGAGUAAUGCACAUAAUCACGAUGAACACAGCUGGAGAAGGAGUAUCAGUAACACACUGCGUAAUAAAUCAAAUUUUUUAAAGGGUAAUGUUAAUAAUGCUAAAAGUGGAACUCUAAAAAAAUUCGUUCCCAAAAUAAAUAAUAUAAAAACUGAAAAUGUACGAAAUGACGAUGAAGUAGAUAAAAUAACCGAAUGUUUAAACAGUACAGAUAUUCAAGAAUUAAUAGAAAAAACUAUUACAUAUGACAAAAUAAAAGAAACAGAUACCGAUGAUAAAAAAAAAAGUUUUAACAAUAAUAUGAAUAAUGAUCUUUUAAAAAAUAUAGAUAACAGUCUAAAUAACCAAAUUAAUAAUAUUAACGUAAAAAAUAAAUUAAAAGACGAUAAUAAUAUACUUUUAAAAGAAGAAAAAGGAAAUAUUAAAAAUUCUAUUAAUAUUUAUGAAUUAAAUAAUAUAAGUAAAAAUAUUUAUUAUAAUAAAAAAUAUACUACUACUAAUGCACAUUUUUUACCCUUGACUUUACCAUUUUUUGUAGAAUCAGAAAAACAAAAAAAAACUAAACAUUUAUUUUCAAAUAAAGAUACAUUUUUUUUCUACAUCCAACUACCUAAUAUGUUACCAGAAGUUAUUAAAAAUGAUGAAAAAGAAGAUAAAAAAAACAAUACAUAUAAUGAGAAUCAAAAAAUAAAACAAAAAAAAUUAAAUAGUAUGAAAGAGAUAAAGGAUAAAAAAGUAAAUGUCCGAAACUCAACUAAAGAUAUAUAUGAAAUUAGUAAUUUAAAUAAAAUACCUAAUGGUAAAAUAGGAAAAUUAAUUAUUUAUAAAAACAAAAAAAUGAAAAUGAAAAUGAAUGAUAUAUUAUUUGAUAUAACUGAAGGGUCCGAAUGUACUUUUUCACAAGAAAUCGGUUGUUAUAUAAAAGAAAAUUCAGAAUUUAUUUUUUUAGGAAACUGUGAUAAUAAAUUAGUUGUAACCCCAAAUAUAGAAAAAAUUUUAAAUAAAAACUAA